GACGUAGGGCGCGAGCGUUGUCCGGAUUUAUUGGGCGUAAAGAGCUCGUAGGCGGCUUGUCGCGUCGGCUGUGAAAACCCGCGGCUCAACUGUGGGCGGGCAGCUGAUACGGGCAGGCUGGAGUUCGGUAGGGGAGACUGGAAUUCCUGGUGUAGCGGUGAAAUGCGCAGAUAUCAGGAGGAACACCGGUGGCGAAGGCGGGUCUCUGGAACGGUACUGACGCUGAGACGCGAAAGCGUGGGGAGCGAACAGG
rnacentral:rRNA from 1 species